AUUCAUUUCCCAUUUAUGUUUUAUAAAACCAGGUGAAAUCAGCUGAGGUGUUUAGAUAGAAGAGCCUGGAUGAGGCCUCUGGAGGUAUUGGUUACAGAGUUGUCUUCAUGAACACUCCUUGCAUCUGAACAAUAUUUGGAUACCACUUACCUCUGAGGCAGUUCUUCUGGAAAUUAUAUUUCUUUCUUGGGAUCAAAAGAAAGCACAUCAAUAUGAGCGAUGGAGUCUACAAAGUGAAUUUGCAGCUGUUUUAUGUAAACUGUGAGAAGUGAACUAUGGACACUAACAAGGAGGCUAAAGCACUUCAGAACGAAGGAUUUCCGUUCUGACGAGUAAAAAUACGGCAUCUUCUCACGCUGAAUUUCUGUCCAUUCACUGACUGACACUGCAGUUGUGCUUAAGCAACUUCAGGUUCAGAAUAUGACCUGCAGGACAUAUUGCAAAGCCUGACUUUUUUCAAGAGGGCUGUCAUUCUACCAGUAGGUUCAGGUUCAGCAAUCAAUGCUGGUUUUCAGAUCCUUAUUAUGUGAAUGAAUUUAGUGAAGUACAAGACAUAAAAUUAUUAAAAGAACAUGCUGAACAAUCAAGCAUACCUCUGGAUCAUUUUAUAGAAUAUUGCAUGGAAAAUCUGGUCGAAUGGUCUUCCUUUCAACUGUUAAGAAAACACUAUAUUCAGGCCUAACUGAGAACUUAUUUUCUUCAAGAAGUUAAGCACUUCUCUGUCCUCCACAAAAACUGAACUUUAUCAGCAUCUCUGCCAGGUUGGAACUCUGUGUAAGAAGAGUUCAUAUGGACAAAAUAUACUGAUUUUUAGCUUAUUACUGUAAGCCUGCAUAUGUUGUAUUAUUUAUAUUUAUCUCAACUAAAGGUUAGCUCAGUUAGGUGAUAGCUCUUCUAGAAUAUCAAUUUUAAAUAAAAUAACCAAGAGGCAAACUACUGUUAGGCACUUUGCAAAUAGAAUGCCAAUGACAGCUGCUGUCCCACAGAAUAUAAAAUUUGCCUGUGAUUUGUGACAAUUUGGAGAACUGCCUGUAAAACAGCAAAAUGAAAGACCAAUUAAUAAUGACAGCACUUUUCCAGCAAAACGCAAAAGUAAUUCAACAAAAUCCUUCAAUAACUUUGACCAUAAAUAAUAAAAUUUUGACCUCCAGAUUGUCAGAACAUACACGUCUACAAAAUAUUAGUCUCUGACCACCUUAUUUCUCUGUCCACUGGAUUGCAUGGUCAACAGCACUUGGCAAAGUACCUUUCUGCUACCAGUCCAAACUUAUUUUGGAAUAGACAAGGGCUCUGACUCUGUACAACUCAAGACAACUGCUGAAUCCACAGAGGGUUCUCUUAAAAUAUGUUCAUCUUUCUCUUAGAACCAGUCACUGUUAUGAUGACAGGUGACCUGAGAAACCUGAAUUUCUGCCAGCAGAUUCCUGAGUCCCAUUAUAGAACCACACAGGUAUUUUUCAACUGAUGUAGGAUCUCUGGUAUGACCUUCUCUGAAAUGUACUGACUUUAUUGUAAGUAGUAUCUUUCUAAUACUGGCACCACCUUCAUACAUUUUAAUGAGCUGCCCUGAAAAUAAUAGACUUUUGUCAAAUGAUUCAAAAUAUCUCAGCUCUGAAAGGAAUAUUUUGCAUCAGCAUCAGUUCAUAGACUCAUAUUCCCAGCCUCUCCUCCUUUAAAUCUUGAAGGAAAAAGACAGCUUAUUCUCAUUUAAUGUGGCAAAGGAUGUGGUUUUGUUGUUGAUUUGCUUAUCCUCAACUUGUGAUUUAUUUGUAUAUUAAACUAACUCAGUCUAUUUUUAGUUAUUUAUUUCAUGCUACAACUAUGUUCUAAAUUAUUAUGCUCCCUUCUAUGGCUCCAGUCCAAAUAAGUGAAAUUGGCUAAUGAGUCAAUAUAGCUACAUGAUAGACUGAUGUAAUGUUGCAAUUUACUUAGCAGUAGUUUUCCAGAUUUCUGAGAGUUAUUGCAAAGAAUCAUUUUUAAAAGUACUACAACAACAAAAUCUUGGGUCCCAGCCGCUACUCAUAUGUUCUGACCUGUACCUCCUCAUUUAUAUGUAUGAAAACAAGGCAGCUGGUAGGCUAAACUAUUGCAAGGAGCUUUAUACUAAUGCCUGAUUAGAACGAUGGCUUGUUGAAUCCUGUCUAUUUUUCUUUUGAAAAGUAUAGUACAACUGUAAUAUCAUCACAUACAAAAAUACGAUAGGUAUUGAAAAACAGGUUGUACAGUAUUUUUAUUUUUCUCACCCAAGUCUUAGGUAGAAACGCCAUGUGGUUGUACAUAUAUAGGGAUAUAAUUUUGGCAAAGUUUUACCAUUUAUUUAUAGAUAGCCAUGUAGUAAAGUAAUCUCAGUGACUUCAUUUUAAUUCAACAUCAAUCAAACUUCACAAAAAUAGGCAUUUAUUCAGAUGGCCUAAUGAAUUGGGACUUUAAUCUUUUGUGGGUUUUGAGAUCAUACUUUAAAAAUUACCAAAUUAGUUGAGAAUGAUUUUUUACCAAAAACAACAUUAAAACAUCCUCUAUGAUACAGCAGUAGGAAUGUAUUUUUUAUUAAAUUACCUGGAUGAAAAGUUUGGUUUGUAUAAUCCCAUCUGGGAAAAAAUCAUUCAAUAAUGGAAGAGAUCCUCUGCUAGGGGAUGCAAAAGUCAUGAUAUUUUGUGCAACCUCACACAUGCUGAAGAUGCUUUUCUUUAUGGGAUAUUAAUACAACACUUAAAAUUACAAGCAUUAGACAAAGUGUUUUAGACAGCAUUUUCAGCAUCAGAAGAUUUAUCAUAUGCAUACAUAUUAACAUAAUUGUGCCUUUGUGGAGUUUAUUCACUUUUGUUCUGAAAAUAUUUUUCUAUGCUUUCACAACCUUUCUCUGAAAUAUAUAAGGAAUGUUAUGUUUUGCAAUAAA
rnacentral:lncRNA from 7 species